rnacentral:lncRNA from 1 species
AUUUUACUUCUUGCAUUCUGCUAUUGCUUGUGUGCUUUCUAGAUGAAAGCCCUGGUAGGGCAGGGAUCGUACCAUACUGAGAGCAAAUAAAAUAAAUGAAUGUCUCCUCUCCUGCCUCUGGAUAUUACAGCAAACACAGAGCACAUUGCUGUGGCCUCCAGCCAACCCCUGCAAUUCCCCGACAAAAUAGAUCGGUUGUGGACAGCGGCAGCUAGUGAGGCACAACGUGGAAGCUUUUAAUUCCUGCUUUUUAUCAUUUUAUCUCAUCACUUUGGCAUCAUCAAGGUAGCAUUUUGGUGACCCUGAGAGGGGAAAAAACUGCUGAGACAAUCACUCUGCUUCAGAAGACUUCAGAGACAGUUGUGGCCACUGGUCUCAUUGUGUCUGAGAACCUGAUGUGAUGUGACAUUGCAGAACGGAGCUGAUGAUCAAUCUCUCUGAUGACAACAAGGAAUCCUCUCAGGUUCAAGCUCUAAUCAGGGACUACAGAGGGCAGCAGCACUGCCAAGCGCUUGGGCAGCUGCUCCCUGCCACUGGACCAGGAGGCUGAUUUUCACCAGAAACACAGAUGGAAGAGACAAGAAACUCCUGAGCCCUCAUUGUCAUCUUGGGCAAAUAGGGUGAAUGACAAGUGGGUUUUUUUUUGGAUGUGAUCAUACUUUUCUUUGCUAACAGCACUGCGGGUGGUUUCCUGGUUAGGGAAGGAGGGCUGGAUGGUGACACCCUUACAGGAACCACACAGACACUUGUCCUGUUGUGCAGCAGCCGGAGUUACCCCACUGGGUAAUACAAGUCAGACUCCAUAGAAGCAGAUCCGUGCCCAUCCUGUUGCUGUGAAUAGUUUCCAAGCAACACCUUUACAACAUGCCUAUAUUCAUAUAUAUGUACAGACGUAAAUGUAUCCCUCCAGCUCAGGAUAAACUAUGCUAGAGUCACACGUAGGUGGCUGUUAGCUCAAGCACUUUGGCACAGUCGGAAAAAGGAUGUGACAAGACAUGCUGGGGACUCCACUCCUUUUGUUUGGGCUUAUAAGAAGGGAAUUACCAGUGCUGCUUGUGACAACAAAACUGCCCAUUAGAAGCUUGAUGCUGUUGUUAGUGGAUAAAAGCAACAUUUCUAAUCCACUGAUGUCACACAAAGCAACAUGGGUUAGCUGGUGUAGCGGAGGGGGUCAUCCUUUUAAUACGAUGAUGUUCUGUGCUCACCAGAUAAAUUCAGCUGAUGAAUUCUCUAAGAAACACUGUACAGAAUGAAAUAUAUAUUCCUGCUCUGAACAUUUUUGUUGCUUGGAUAGUACUGAACAGGAAAAUUAUUUAGACUUUGUAAAGAGGCCAUUAUGAAGACCAUCAGAGAACUUGCUGCUGCUCGGAUAGAUUUUCCUGUGGCUCCCACAGGCUCCUGAAAUCCACAGUAAAUAAUAAUAUUUAUUAAUGAAAUUUAAUUUUUACCAGAUGGUAAGUAAUAGCAGUGUGUUAGGCGUGCUGUUCAAUAAUGUUCUGCUGCUGCUUUGAAUUCUCAUUACAUAGCAUGCUCCUAGAGUUGAGAAGUAACCUCAUUGUAAAGGCCUGCCUGCCUUGCUCUGCUGUGGAUAGGGGAUUUGCUGUGCAAGCCUUAUCCAAAGCCGGCAGAUGCCAAUGGAAACAGCCCUGCAUGCUGGCAGAUGAACUUUGGAGCUGCCAAAGUAGCUGAAAUAGGUACCUUUCAUCAGAGAAAAAAAGUUGUUCUGCCCCAGCAGUGCAUACCGGCCAGCAUCAGUCAUUUAAUUUGACUUCUCGUCUCCAUAUUCUUGAUGCAAGAAUAAAAAUUCAAUUAAAUAUCAAACGACCGAAAAAUGAUUUGUAAAUACUGUGCACAGCGGAGAGUUUUCUGCUUAUUUCUUGCACUAAACUGCUUACUUAUUUCCUACAAAACCUUUCGACUGGAAAUCCAGACAUUUAAAUUGAACGUAGUUCUUCCAACACAGCAGGACAGCCGCCAUAUUCCACACAAAGCCAUCUGUAGCAAGAAAAACACAACAUAAAACCCAGAUUCUGUAUUAGAAAUGUCCUCUUCAUCUUCCAUACCCUUUUCUUUGCCAUGGUGAUUCUCUUCACUUUGCUCUUUCUUACUGGUGCUGCGAAUCCAGAUGGACCGGGCACCCUGGUUUAAUUUGCUUCCUAGCAUACGUUAAUAUGUCACUACAGGAGAUACCUCAUUACCCACCUGUCAAAGGACUUGUCCAUGGUAUGGUGGCUGCUGCUUUGAUCUGUCAAUCUGCGUUUUUAGCCUUUCUCAUUACGGACUGGGCACCCGAGGGUGGGGAUUCUUCUAGGGUGCUACAACCCAACAGCUUUCAAGGAUACUUGGUUUUGAACAUUAUAUUUUUGCUGUCUCAGUUCUCAGAGGCCACAGGGCCUUGUGAGGAGCCAGGCAUGACUCUCGUCCCCACUGGGGACUGCCGAACAGCCGAAUCUCCCAUCAGAAAGAGGCCUGGAGCCUGAGGCUCCUCCUCAGGCCUUGAGCCCAGCUGAGACAGCCUCACUGCACAGGCUUGAAGCUUCACUAUGUACUGAUGGGAAGUGAAUCUUCUGGGAACAAAAGCCUUGGGUUUGAGUCCAGAAACAUACUCAGAGUCCAGCUCUUUAUGCUGGUAGGCAUUUUUACCUUGCACUUCAGCAUAGAUUUGUCUUGAUGUUGUCUGGGUCACUUCCUUGGCAAUACCUGCUGGCGGCAGGACUGAGGAUAGAGGCAAACUGAUUCCUUGAUGUCCUCACAAAUGAAUAAAAAGGUCAUUUCAAACACAGCUGAGAAAGGUUUUUCAGGCUCCUGUGAACAGCCACCAUUUAAUGCUAGGUGAUCCUGGCUCCAGAUAUUUUUCCUGAAAAUAUCCCCAAAAUAAACAUGUAGAAUCCCGUAAAAUCAGUUAACUUGAGUAAGAGCAAAUCCAAUUUUCUGCUCAUAGUAAAUAAUCUACUGAAUAAUGAACUCUUUAACUAGCUCUUGUCUUAUUUCUAAAAUAAGAGUUAACCCAAAGAAAAGAAUGGGAUGGCUUUUCCAACACACAAAGCACAGAAAUGAGUUUCUCCCUCCUUCAUAUACACAUGGAGCUCCCCCAGGAGAGCGCAAUAUCAGGAGGAGGAGGACCUCUCAUGGAUUUGAGUGCAAUCCAAUCUGGGACCGUUGCAGCCAGUCACAACAUUGCCAUUCACUUCAGCAUAUGUGGGCGCUGACUUUUAGAUGUGCAUUCUCCUUUAAAGUCCUCGCACACCAGUUAAUUGUUUGUGUGUGUAUGUUAUGUGCAUGUGGACCAGAUGCACAGAGUUGUGGACCCCAGAGAAUUUCACUGCUUUCAAAGGAUGUGAUGUAAAAUUCUGUACACUAAAUUUAUUUCUUCCCAUGCAACUGUGUACAAUCAGCUCUAAUAGGAACUUGACACUUCCUGCACGUCUGUUUUUUAAUGGAAUCUGCUAAGUUUUAUAAGGGCCAUAUUUAGCUGUACAUCCUCUCCACUGUUAACUGUAUUAUCCUUCUAAGGAAGCCAUUAACUCUUCACUAAACGCUCUUCCUAUAGCGGUUUGACAAUGCAUGCAUGGUGAAACGUGGAUCUCCGUGGGCUAAGCAGCUCUUCCAACUGAAAGAAUCAGUGAGCGCGUAUGUAAUGGGGAUAAAUGAGGAGAACCUCUAAAAAUGCAUGACAUGAUCAGCAAGUAAUUUCUGCUCGUCUGCCUUCCAACAGCUCCUAAUGCAAACUUUGUAUAUUUAAACAACUUCCCUUUUUACAGCAGGUCCUGAGACUAUUGCUCAUGCCUCUCAGAAAUGAUAUUUUCAGUUCCAUUUUCAUUCCAGCUUGAAGGAGAGAGGUGGUUUGCACGUCUUGGCUACUUCCAAAUUUGCAGCUGAAGACGCGUUCUUCAUUGCAUCAUUCUGGACCAGCUCCCACAUUUCAUCUCACGCUGUUCUGCUCUGCUUUCCCUGUACAAAGUGGAACCAUCAGCUUUCAGCUGAAACAGUCUAUUUUAAGAUAAAGGAGAAAUAAAAUGAGGAAGAUUGUAAGUGAAAACUCCAUGGAGAAGUUUACAGUGCUUCCUUUUUAUGAAAACAAACUAGAGGCUGCUUCUGGCAAAUAUGAAGGUUUUAUUAAUGGAAAUGUGUGGUAAAGAUCUUAAUCCUUGAACCUGGCACUGCUCUGUUCUGUAAAGUCUGUAUAGAGUUUACACGGGAGUUAUAAAUCAGAGAGAGGUAGCCCUGAAAUAAACAGUCUGUACUUCCUAAUGGAUAACAGUGUUAAACUGCACAGCAAAUUUUUUCCUUGCCUCUUCUGCACUUGAAUAACCAAACGUAAACAAAUUAGAAACUGCAUUUCAGCCUGUGCUCACCUGCAUCCACUUCCUUUGCAAAAGCCAAAAAAUGGACAAAUAUUGCUAUCCAGUGUGUGUUUUCUUCCUGUGGUUUGUGGGUCUAUCUUCCUCUAACUGAGGCUUGUGGAAGUAGGCAGUAAGCGAGCAGGUGCCCAGAUGUCUUCAGGGUAUCAAUGCCAGAAAGACUUCCUGCUCUGACCCUGCAGGACCCCACAGCCACUGGAGGUGGAUCCAUGUCACAACUGUUGUUGUGUUUGCACAGUCUAAGGCCUCACUCUCUUAUACCAUCCGCACCCAUGGGCUUCUCCUCCCACGAUGGCAAUAGACUGGUGUCAAAAAUAAAUGGCAGACAUGACAAAUCUUACAAGGAAAAUAGGUAUUCUGCCUACUUUUCUUGAGAAUUUUGAUGUUGAUUCUCUUUUCUCCUUUCUGGUUCCGUCCUGAGGAAGGAGAGAAUGAAUGGAUACGGUCAGACCCGCGUUUUGUGUGGAAGCAAAGAAGCACGAGGAAACUGUCUCAAGUUGUACUAAGGAAGAUUUACAUUGGACAUUAGGAAGAAUUUCUUCAUAGUGGUCAAACAAUGGAAUGGGCUGUCCAAGGAAAUGAUGGGGUCCCCCUCCCCAGAGUUGUUUAUGAGAAAUGUGGAUGUGGCACGAAGGGACGUUGUUUAGUAAAAGGUCUCAGUAUAUCAGGUUGAUAGUUGGAUUUGGUGACCUUGAAGUUGUUUUCCAACCUAGAUGAUUCCCUGAUUCUGUGAUUCUGUUUAAAUGCUGAGGUUACACAUAAACAAGGCCGGGUGUCCCAGCUGGCUGGCAGCCUCUAUUUCAGGGGGAAGAGGCAAUGGGAUGGCUGGGGAAGGUGAAAUGUUGAAAAUGUGUGUUCUGAAAGCAGACUAGUAAUGAUCCUUGAGAAGAUAUUCAUUUGUGUCUAAUGUGGCUAAGGAAAAGAAGGAAGAAGAGAAACCUGAGCAAACAAAUACAUUGUGGACAGCCCAGCAGGACUGAGUUUUACAGCCAGCUCUGCUGCCCAGGAGCAUCACUUUCCUCAGCUCAUUCCAGGACGCCUGCAGCACUCUGACCCCAGCCUGACUUGUGACUGCUCAGCCCACCAGCAAGUCUGGGGGAGUGGAGAGGAGAUGAUGGGUCCUAUCUCCAGUCUGGCCAGAGGACACCUCAAGCAGUCUCAGGCUCUCUGAAGCCACAGGGCCACACCACAUCCUUCUUCCCAAAACUGCAAAUCCCAAGGGGGCUGAUAACUAGGAAAAUCCAGAGUAAAAUAUGUAGAAACUUCUUACAGAGCUUUCCCUUCAUCUGCAUUUGUAGAAGGAGUGACCAAACUCUCAAGGUUGCUAGCCUAAAGUUUGACAUCCAUUAACAAUAUACAUUUGUUUUCAACAUCUACAUAAACAGGAUCCUGUGUACCCCGUCUCCUUUAGAGAGAAAAAUAAAAAUAAACAAAUAUCAUGUGUGUAUCCAGGAACCUCACACAGAAUGCUUGCAAAAUUAUAUGUGCCCUCUGCCUGUAAAACUCUGCUGUGCUCAGGUGUUUGUAGCAUUUGGGCCUUUGUGAGAGAAAACAAGAGAAACUCAUUGACCUCAGUAUGUCUUGGGACAAAGAUUCCUGAAGAAUUAUUGUAUAGACAAGGGAAAGAAAUUCUUUAGGUUAUUAUAGAAAUUACUGGAAAAAACAUCUUUUAAGAAAAAAAAAAUGCUUGAUA